rnacentral:rRNA from 1 species
UACGAAGGGUGCAAGCGUUAAUCGGAAUCACUGGGCUUAAAGCGUGUGUAGGCGGGCCGUUAAGUGUCUUGUGAAAUCCCCCGGCUCAACCGGGGAAUUGCUGGGCAUACUGGCGGUCUUGAGCAAUCUAGGGGCAGAUGGAACAAGUGGUGGAGCGGUGAAAUGCGUAGAUAUCACUUGGAACGCCAAAGGUGAAGACAGUCUGCUGGGGAUUUGCUGACGCUGAGACACGAAAGCCAGGGGAGCGAACGGG